rnacentral:tRNA from 1 species
GAGGGUAUAGCUUAGUGGUAGAGUUCAUGCCUAGCAUUCACUAGGUCCUGGGUUCAAUCUCCAGUACUUCCA